rnacentral:rRNA from 1 species
AGAGCGAACGCUGGCGGCAGGCCUAAUACAUGCAAGUCGAACGGAUCCUUCGGGAUUAGUGGCGGACGGGUGAGUAACACGUGGGAACGUGCCCUUUGGUUCGGAACAACUCAGGGAAACUUGAGCUAAUACCGAAUGUGCCCUUCGGGGGAAAGAUUUAUCGCCAUUGGAGCGGCCCGCGUCUGAUUAGCUAGUUGGUGGGGUAAAGGCCCACCAAGGCGACGAUCAGUAGCUGGUCUGAGAGGAUGAUCAGCCACACUGGGACUGAGACACGGCCCAGACUCCUACGGGAGGCAGCAGUAGGGAAUCUUGCGCAAUGGGCGAAAGCCUGACGCAGCCAUGCCGCGUGAAUGAUGAAGGUCUUAGGAUUGUAAAAUUCUUUCAGCGGGGACGAUAAUGACGGUACCCGCAGAAGAAGCCCCGGCUAACUUCGUGCCAGCAGCCGC